ensembl:lncRNA
GGAUCCUUCAGGAAGGGCUCUGGCUGGUGCAUUCCUUGGGAUAAACUCUCCUUUGCUUACCAAAUAGACUGGCCUGAGGUCAGAGGUGCCACUGGAGAGCCGGGUCCCCUGAGACAUGGAGAGGUCACAAGGCUGACAGAUGGGGGUGCAGCUGUGCCAUCACUACACCCUGAAGAAUUCCCUGCACUGCCUGUCUCAGUGCCUCCAUCAUUAGCAGGAGGAAUCCUGUUGACAAGACAAUUUUUAUUCAGUAGUGUACAGUUUUUAAAAACUUUUUAAACCUCACAGGUACAUUAUAUAGGAGUCAGAGGCUACUCAGCUCUACAUGUAGACAUGGGGAUCAUUUGGGAGACGUCUGGAUAAGAACUAGAUUCCAGGGAUAACUCAAUUGAGACUUUAACUCCACUUCCAUCAAAGCCAAAGACCGAUGCGAGCUGCCAUGAGCCACCAGACCGUGACAAGAGUGAAAUGAGAUGUCACCUGAGUUCCUGGAAGAUGACUAGUUCCAGAAAGAAUGUGACUCUUCCUCCUCCCAUUAGCCUAUCUCUUCCUCAUUCAUCCUACCCCCCAUCUGUGACUUCCUGACCCAUCACUGUGGUGAGAGGUUCACUGGACAGGAGGCCUCUGCCUUGGCUGGAGCGAGGGGGAGAGAGAUCGCGCAGGAUGACAGCCUUUCUUUAAAUGGGAGUUGCAGACCCAGAGGACAAAGAAAACUGGCUGAAGACCAUGGUGGUCUUGACUACUGUCUGAGGGAAUUUCAGUCCACUUGGCUGCUCACUGAAUCCUCAGCUGAUUCCCCUUCCAUCUUACCAUCUGUUUCCUCCUCCCCUCCAGCGUGGACACCCUGGCACUUUGUGAGGAAAUCCUCUCGAAGACACUGCUGCUGAAUGGUGUCUCACACAUGCUCCCCAGGGCCAGAACCCAGGUGCUAACUUUCUUUCCACCCUGCCGCCUCGUCAAGGCCUCAGGUGGACACAGGACAUCCUCAGGCGGACACAGGACAUCCUCAGGCAGACACAGGACAUCCUCAGGCGGACACAGGACAUCCUCAGGCAAGGGGAACACAGAAAGUGAUGGGAUGGGGUGAAGACAGAAGGUGACGGGAGGCCGAAAGCCUGGGAGAGAAUCUGAUGGUGAUCUGGAGGCUCCUUCUACCUGUUGCCAGCACCCUGCUCCUGCCUUUUCUUGGGGCCCUGACCCUGAGGAGACCACUUCCUCUAGCUUCUACUUUGUAGGACCGAAAGUUCUGUACAGUUUGGCAGGAAGAGCGACUCAUUGUGCCUCUUAACUGACCCCAGUGUUACCCUUGACACCUCCCAACUGUGUGACCUGGAGCCCCGCAUCUCUCCUCCCCUGUCACACGAGUACAGAGUCUCCUGCAUUGUAGUGAGGAUCAAGUAUAACAUGCGGACUUUGCCAGGCCAGUGCCUAUCCCUUCAUAUGUCCUUCCUGAGUGUGGGUUUCUCCCCUACCUGGACCCUGUUAGCUUCAGGUGAAAAUGGCUCCCAACAUCGGUGCCACACUUAGAGCUGUGUGUGGGCACCUGGCCUGCACUGCCAGUGAUGUGCCCCUGCUUACCAAGUGUGACUGUCUCAGGCAGGGACUGACUCAAAUUAUCUCAUGGAAAAUAAAAGUAUGCACCAGCCACAAUGACCCACACAGGUAACCCCAGCACUUGGACAAGCUGAGGCAGGAGG